rnacentral:lncRNA from 1 species
GCCUCUUCGUAUUGCCUCAGAUUUUAUUAUCACAUGUAUGGCCAACAUAUCGGAAAUCUAGCAGUGUACUCACAAACAAGAAACUCGGGUUAUUGGUCCAAACGUUGGACUCGGUCCGGAAAUCAAGGAAAUCAAUGGAUAAAAGCUAGUGUGGAUAUUACUGGUAAUAUAACGUCAGGCAUUGUUGUAAGUAUAUAAUCAGAAUAUCAGUUUUUCCUUCAAAUUUUUCCUACCAGCGUAAACUUUAAAUACACAUUCAUUUGUCCGUUUGUAAAGUUUCACUGAGAUUGUGUGGGCUUAUCAUUUUAUUCACUGACCCUGAAUAAACCGUUAUCGUUGACACUGCACAUCGAACAUUGCUAUCAAGAAUCAAAUGUUAGAGGGAGAAACUGAUUCAUUUUGACUGGACUGUCAGUGUUAGAAAAUAUUGGGACAAUAUAUGCUAGAAACAUUUUUCCCAAAGUGAUUAUUCUAAUUCUAAUAUAAAUCAACUAUCAAUUUUCAAUAACUCCAUCAGUAUAUUAUAGAAAAAGUAGUAAAAAUAUUAGAACUUCAUCUCAAUCCAAUGUUUGUCCCAAAUAAAUGCACAAUCACCAAGUCGGUUCUUAGUAGUGAGGCUCUAUAUAUAUUGCAUAUCAAUGGUAUCAUAAUGAUUGUAACUUGUGGCACUGCCGUUGUUUGUUGUUAUUUGAUAUUAAUUGGUUUGUGCCUUUUGUAUCUUAUUUGAGCGAAAUGAAAGAAUAUUUGAGAAAUUAAAAAAAGAGUUCGAGGUUUCAAAGUAUCGAAUAUCUAAGAGAAAAUACAAAAUAAGUAUAGGACACUUUAACGAGAAAAAAAUAAGAAUGAUGAAGUAGUUCCUCUUCUGUUCUAUAUAUUUAAUCUGUAAUCCUUGCUCUCCACGUGAGGUGGAAGAAGAAUCUCAACCAGGAUAUAGUUUACAAAGAGUAGAUAAAGCUCAAAAUUCAAAACAUCUUUAUAUUACACUGCCAUAAAACAUAAAUAUCGUCAAUGACAUUAUUUCAAAGCCAGUUCAGGCCUGAAAUUUAUUUCUAAGGCUUCUGACAUAGAAAUCCCUCCUGACCAAAGAUUCGGGUUCUAAGUAGGGAAUACGUUUGCUGAACAGACGGACAAGCAGCUGCAAUAUUUUUCAUGUGAUAAAUUUCUAACAUUUCACACAUUGCUCUUAAAUGCGCUGUUAUAUAUUGUUUCGUAUACUACAAUGAAUGUCAAGUUCUAUGUUACCAUGGUUAAUGAUUUCCACGUUUGUUUGUCCGAAUGUGUAUAAUAUGGUCUUUGAUUGAUUAGAACAUGGCAAUUUCCAUACUAGGCUUCAGAGUGAUCACACCAAUGAAUUUCGAAUUUGGAUAUGUUGUAGCUGGUAACAAAGUGAAGGUCAUUAACGGGGUUGACCAUUUUUACUUCAGUUGUUAAAGGAGUUAUGGCCCUUAAAAGAUUUAUUUGUACAUAAAUAUAAACUGUCUAUACACUUUCGUUGAUGACACGCCUGUCCUUUAUAAUAGAGUGAAUGUAUGAAAGACGACAUUUUGUGUAACACGAUUUAUCCUUGACGCAUUCAACAAAAUUAAGUGUACGAAUAGCAAGACAUCAAGAGACAAAUAAAAAAAAUACCAAACUCCAAGUAACAUUAAAACGGAAACGCUCUUGUCAAAAGCUCAAACAGUUACUCAUCAAACGAAAUUAAAAGUAACUAUUAUAUUCUUUACUUGGUAAAAUAUGGUUACUCUCUUGAUGUAGCCAUGUAUUGGAACAAACAUUACUAAACUAUUCUAUUGUAUGAUACAUACAAUUGGACUCUUCAAUGUUAAAUUUGUGUCAACUAAAACAAUUUUAAAUUGUGAAUUUGUCAUAAUUCUAUAAUUUUCCAAAUAAAGUACGCACAUACAUUUUAAACUAAUCAGAAUGUAAAAUAUCAAUUUCAUUUAGCGACUAACUGAAACAUUAAAAACACGUGAAUGAAUUUUUUGUGCGAAAAAAAAAUAGAUAACAUAAAAUGUAUUUCAACUUAUUCGAAAGAACAUAAAGUGUGAAUGACAAUUAUUUUUAAAUACUUGUAAACCUAAACAAAAUUCUCGAAAUAAUAUUUUCUACAUUGAUAUUUCUUUUCAGUUUGAUAUCGAGGCUACGAAGGGAAAAUCUGGUAAUAACGGUGAUAUUGCAAUUGAUGAUAUAACAUUGUGUACCGGUUCAUGUAAUUAGCUUGUAACACUUCUCGAUAUUGUGUGAACUGGAAAUUCACGCUAUUAUAAUUACUAUCUGUUCUAGAAAUGUACCUGAUAGUCCAGUUUUUAUUGCUCGAAAUUCUCCUUUUAAUUCUGUUUUUUUUUCUUUUUUUCUAUCGCAUUAUGUGUACUAAAAACCAUUAGUCGCAACAAACAGUGUUUUCAGUUUUAAAUGACAGUUUUCUUCGUGCAUCUUUAUUUUAGAAACGAAUAUCUUAUUAAGUGUAUUAA